UCUAAACGACUCUCGGCAACGGAUAUCUCGGCUCUCGCAUCGAUGAAGAACGUAGCGAAAUGCGAUACUUGGUGUGAAUUGCAGAAUCCCGUGAACCAUCGAGUCUUUGAACGCAAGUUGCGCCCGAAGCCUUCUGGCCGAGGGCACGUCUGCCUGGGCGUCACG
rnacentral:rRNA from 1 species